CCUACGGGAGGCAGCAGUGAGGAAUAUUGGUCAAUGGACGAGAGUCUGAACCAGCCAAGUAGCGUGAAGGAUGACUGCCCUAUGGGUUGUAAACUUCUUUUAUAUGGGAAUAAAACGUUCCACGUGUGGGAUUUUGUAUGUACCAUAUGAAUAAGGAUCGGCUAACUCCGUGCCAGCAGCCGCGGUAAUACGGAGGAUCCGAGCGUUAUCCGGACUUAUUGGGUUUAAAGGGAGCGUAGGUGGAUUGUUAAGUCAGUUGUGAAAGUUUGCGGCUCAACCGUAAAAUUGCAGUUGAAACUGGCAGUCUUGAGUACAGUAGAGGUGGGCGGAAUUCGUGGUGUAGCGGUGAAAUGCUUAGAGAUCACGAAGAACUCCGAUUGCGAAGGCAGUUCACUGGACUGCAACUGACACUGAGGCUCGAAAGUGUGGGUAUCAAACAGGAUUAGAUACCCCUGUAGUC
rnacentral:rRNA from 1 species